rnacentral:rRNA from 1 species
GAGCGGAGAUGAGGUGCUUGCACCUUAUCUUAGCGGCGGACGGGUGAGUAAUGCUUAGGAAUCUGCCUAUUAGUGGGGGACAACAUUUCGAAAGGAAUGCUAAUACCGCAUACGCCCUACGGGGGAAAGCAGGGGAUCUUCGGACCUUGCGCUAAUAGAUGAGCCUAAGUCGGAUUAGCUAGUUGGUGGGGUAAAGGCCUACCAAGGCGACGAUCUGUAGCGGGUCUGAGAGGAUGAUCCGCCACACUGGGACUGAGACACGGCCCAGACUCCUACGGGAGGCAGCAGUGGGGAAUAUUGGACAAUGGGGGGAACCCUGAUCCAGCCAUGCCGCGUGUGUGAAGAAGGCCUUUUGGUUGUAAAGCACUUUAAGCGAGGAGGAGGAGCUCUAGAUUAAUACUCUAGAUGCUUGGACGUUACUCGCAGAAUAAGCACCGGCUAACUCUGUGCCAGCAGCCGCGGUAAUACAGAGGGUGCAAGCGUUAAUCGGAUUUACUGGGCGUAAAGCGUGCGUAGGUGGUCUUUUAAGUCGGAUGUGAAAUCCCUGAGCUUAACUUAGGAAUUGCAUUCGAUACUGGGAGACUAGAGUAUGGGAGAGGAUGGUAGAAUUCCAGGUGUAGCGGUGAAAUGCGUAGAGAUCUGGAGGAAUACCGAUGGCGAAGGCAGCCAUCUGGCCUAAUACUGACACUGAGGUACGAAAGCAUGGGGAGCAAACAGGAUUAGAUACCCUGGUAGUCCAUGCCGUAAACGAUGUCUACUAGCCGUUGGGGCCUUUGAGGCUUUAGUGG